rnacentral:ncRNA from 1 species
GAAAGCAUUUGCCAAGAAUGUUUUCAUUAAUCAAGAACGAAAGUUAGAGGAUCGAAGACGAUCAGAUACCGUCCUAGUUCUAACCAUAAACGAUGCCGACUAGGGAUCAGAGAGUGUUAUUGGAUGACCUCUUUGGCACCUUAUGGGAAACCAAAGUUUUUGGGUUCCGGGGGAAGUAUGGUUGCAAAGCUGAAACUUAAAGGAAUUGACGGAAGGGCACCACCAGGAGUGGAGCCUGCGGCUUAAUUUGACUCAACACGGGGAAACUCACCAGGUCCAGACAUAGGAAGGAUUGACAGAUUGAGAGCUCUUUCUUCCCUCACGGUUAUCCAAGAUGGCGUCUUAUAUUGGCAUCUGUAAGAACCUCAUAAAAUCGCGUAUAAAGGUAAAAAAAAACGCUUAUUCUUUAUGUAUCAUAGACUAUAUGUCUAUAACCUACUAAAUAUGAACUUUUGUCUUGAUUUUACAUUUAUUUCUUAUAAAUCUGAGCAAUUAUCGGGUAUUUUGACGUUGGCUAAACAAAAAGAGGUGGCUUUAAUAAGGGGGCUUUUUUGGAUGUUCUGCAGAACAAACAUCUGUAAAAACUAUUUGUCGCAAAUAGCGCAAAAUGGCACAGGAAUUUUCACAAAUUUGCAGAGGAGGCACUAAAAAACACUGAUUAACUUACCACGGGCGUUUUAAGAUAUUUACUUACCACGGGCGUUUUUAGAGAUUAACUUACCACGGGCGCUUUUAGAGAUUAACUUACCACGGGCGUUUUAACAGAUUAACUUAACACGGGCGCUUUUAGAUUAACUUAACACGGGCGUUUUUAGAGAUCAACUUAACACGGGCGUUUUUAGAGAUUAACUUACCACGGGCGUUUUUAGAGAUCAACUUAACACGGGCGUUUUUAGAGAUUAACUUACCACGGGCGUUUUUAGAUAUAACUUACCACGGGCGUUCUAAGAGAUUAACUUAACACGGGCGUUCUAGAGGAUUAACUUACCACGGGCGUUCUAGGCGAUUAACUUACCACGGGCGUUCUAGGCGAUUACCUUAACACGGGCGUUCUAGGUGAUUAACUUACCACGGGCGUUCUAGGUGAUUAACUUACCACGGGCGUUCUAGGCGAUUACAUUACCACGGGCGUUCUAGGCGAUUACAUUACCACGGGCGUUCUAGGUGAUUACAUUACCACGGGCGUUCUUAGAGAUUACCUCACCACGGGCGUUCUUAGAGAUUACCUUACCACGGGCGUUCUUAGAGAUUAACUUACCACGGGCGUUCUUAGAGAUUAACUUACCACGGGCGUUCUAGGCGAUUACCUUAACACGGGCGUUCUAGGUGAUUACCUUACCACGGGCGUUCUAGGUGAUUAACUUACCACGGGCGUUCUAGGCGAUUACAUUACCACGGGCGUUCUAGGCGAUUACAUUACCACGGGCGUUCUAGGUGAUU